GAGUUUGAUCAUGGCUCAGAGCGAACGCUGGCGGCAGGCUUAACACAUGCAAGUCGAGCGGGCGUAGCAAUACGUCAGCGGCAGACGGGUGAGUAACGCGUGGGAACAUACCUUUUGGUUCGGAACAACACAGGGAAACUUGUGCUAAUACCGGAUAAGCCCUUACGGGGAAAGAUUUAUCGCCGAAAGAUUGGCCCGCGUCUGAUUAGCUAGUUGGUGAGGUAACGGCUCACCAAGGCGACGAUCAGUAGCUGGUCUGAGAGGAUGAUCAGCCACAUUGGGACUGAGACACGGCCCAAACUCCUACGGGAGGCAGCAGUGGGGAAUAUUGGACAAUGGGCGCAAGCCUGAUCCAGCCAUGCCGCGUGAGUGAUGAAGGCCCUAGGGUUGUAAAGCUCUUUUGUGCGGGAAGAUAAUGACGGUACCGCAAGAAUAAGCCCCGGCUAACUUCGUGCCAGCAGCCGCGGUAGUCGGCCCAAUCGC
rnacentral:rRNA from 1 species